GCAGAGUAGAGAGAUGUGCGUUAAGUGCCGGCUGGACGGGGAGUUGCCAGCAGGACGAAAAGUAUGAAAAUACUUGCGGUACAUGUCUCGCAUCCCGCUGC
rnacentral:ncRNA from 1 species